rnacentral:rRNA from 1 species
UACAGAGGGGGCAAGCGUUGUUCGGAAUUACUGGGCGUAAAGGGCGCGUAGGCGGCCUCUUAAGUCGAACGUGAAAUCCCCGGGCUCAACCCGGGAACUGCGUCCGAUACUGGGAGGCUUGAAUCCGGGAGAGGGAUGUGGAAUUCCCGGUGUAGUGGUGGAAUGCGUAGAGAUCGGGAGGAACACCAGUGGCGAAGGCGGUGGCCUGGACCGAUGCUGACGCUGAGGCGCGAAGCGUGGGGAGCGAUCCGG